CAGAUACAGAGUAAACACAUUUCUCAACAUUCUUGGGACUGCUCCACUUGCUGAGACUAUUGGUGUUUACACUUGCAUUAGAAGGGCCUGAGGAAUGCAACUGAAUAAGCCAUGCAAUGUUGAAGAUUGAGAUUUUGUUGCCUGAGAUGAGAGCUGGCUGUCAUGGCACUGACUGUGUCCUUGCUCAUCACAAGAUUUACUCAUUACAUGGUUUCUGAUGACUAAGACUUUAAGGUAAUUUCCAGGCUGUUCUUUUCUAAAAUUAAUUUUUUGGGGGGAUAUGCUUACAAAU
rnacentral:lncRNA from 1 species